AGAGUUUGAUCCUGGCUCAGGAUGAACGCUAGCGACAGGCUUAACACAUGCAAGUCGAGGGGCAGCGGGGGCGUAGCAAUAUGCCUGCCGGCGACCGGCGCACGGGUGAGUAACACGUAUGUAACCUGCCCUAUGCAGGGGGAUAACCCGGAGAAAUCCGGCCUAAUACCGCGUAACACCUUAGGGGAGCAUUCUCUUGAGGUUAAAGGAGAGAUCCGGCAUAGGAUGGACAUGCGUCGCAUUAGGUAGACGGCGGGGUAACGGCCCACCGUGCCGACGAUGCGUAGGGGUUCUGAGAGGAAGGCCCCCCACACUGGUACUGAGACACGGACCAGACUCCUACGGGAGGCAGCAGUGAGGAAUAUUGGUCAAUGGCCGAGAGGCUGAACCAGCCAAGUCGCGUGAGGGAAGAAUGUCCUAAGGAUUGUAAACCUCUUUUGUCGGGGAGCAAAAAGGCUCUGCGGAGUCGUAUUGAGAGUACCCGAAGAAAAAGCAUCGGCUAACUCCGUGCCCAGCAGCCGCGGUAAUACGGAGGAUGCGAGCGUUAUCCGGAUUUAUUGGGUUUAAAGGGUGCGCAGGCGGCGUGUCAAGCAAGCGGUAAAAUAGCGGGGCUCAACCCCGUCGAGCCGUUUGAACUGGCGCGCUUGAGUUCAGGCGAGGUAGGCGGAAUUUGUGGUGUAGCGGUGAAAUGCAUAGAUAUCACGAAGAACUCCGAUUGCGAAGGCAGCUUACCAGUCUGCGACUGACGCUCAGGCACGAAAGUGUGGGUAUCGAACAGGAUUAGAUACCCUGGUAGUCCACACAGUAAACGAUGAGCGCUAGGUGUCCGGGUCGCAUGGAGAUUUGGGUGCCCGAGCGAAAGCGUUAAGCGCUCCACCUGGGGAGUACGCCGGCAGCGGUGAAACUCAGAGGAAUUGACGGGGGCCCGCACAAGCGGAGGAACAUGUGGUUUAAUUAGAUGAUACGCGAGGAACCUUACCCGGGCUCAAACGACUCAGGAAUAUAUUGGAAGCGGAUGUAGCCAGCAAUGGUCUGAGUCGAGGUGCUGCAUGGUUGUCGUCAGCUCGUGCCGUGAGGUGUCGGCUUAAGUGCCAUAACGAGCGCAACCCCUACCGCCAGUUGCCAACGGGUAAAGCCGGGAACUCUGGCGGGACUGCCGGCGCAAGCUGCGAGGAAGACGGGGAUGACGUCAAAUCAGCACGGCCCUUACGUCCGGGGCGACACACGUGUUACAAUGGCAGGUACAGCGGGAAGCCACCUGGUGACAGGGAGCGGAACCCGAAAGCCUGUCUCAGUUCGGAUUGGAGUCUGCAACUCGACUCCAUGAAGCUGGAUUCGCUAGUAAUCGCGCAUCAGCCAUGGCGCGGUGAAUACGUUCCCGGGCCUUGUACACACCGCCCGUCA
rnacentral:rRNA from 1 species